rnacentral:rRNA from 1 species
UACGUAGGGGGGCAAGCGUUGUCCGGAUUUAUUGGGCGUAAAGAGCUCGUAGGUGGUUUGGUAAGUCGGAUGUGAAAUCUCCAGGCUCAACCUGGAGGGGUCAUUCGAUACUGCCAUACUAGAGGUCGGUAGGGGAGUGGUGGAAUUCCUGGUGGAGCGGUGAAAUGACGCAGAUAUCAGGAGGAACACCAAUGGCGAAGGCAGCA